rnacentral:rRNA from 1 species
CCUACGGGGUGCUGCAGUGGGGAAUAUUGGACAAUGGGCGAAAGCCUGAUCCAGCCAUGCCGCGUGUGUGAAGAAGGCCUUCGGGUUGUAAAGCACUUUCAGUGGGGAAGAAAGCCUUGGGGCUAAUACCCUCGAGGAAGGACAUCACCCACAGAAGAAGCACCGGCUAACUCCGUGCCAGCAGCCGCGGUAAUACGGAGGGUGCGAGCGUAUAAUCGGAAUUACUGGGCGUAAAGCGCGCGUAGGCGGUCUGAUAAGCCGGUUGUGAAAGCCCCGGGCUCAACCUGGGAACGGCAUCCGGAACUGGCAGGAUAGAGGGCAGGAGAGGAAGGUAGAAUUCCCGGUGUAGCGGUGAAAUGCGUAGAGAUCGGGAGGAAUACCAGUGGCGAAGGCGGCCUUCUGGACUGACACUGACGCUGAGGUGCGAAAGCGUGGGUAGCAAACAGGAUUAGAUACCCGGGUAGUC